rnacentral:rRNA from 1 species
GACGAGCCACACGAACGUUAUUCGGAAUUACUGGGCUUAAAGGGUGCGUAGGCUGCGCGGAAAGUUGGGUGUGAAAUCCCUCGGCUCAACCGAGGAACUGCGCCCAAAACUGCCGUGCUCGAGGAAGAUAGAGGUAAGCGGAACUUACGGUGGAGCGGUGAAAUGCGUUGAUAUCGUAAGGAACACCUGUGGCGAAAGCGGCUUACUGGGCCUUUUCUGACGCUGAUGCACGAAAGCUAGGGGAGCAAACGG